UGGCGUUUAAUAGAUGCUUGAUAAAUAUUUGUUUACCGAAAUAGGAUAAUAGUUAUGGCAUAGUCCUACUCAUGAGCCAUUUUUCUAAGAGAAUCCACAUUAGGAGGUCUUUGUUUUGUCUUCAAAUUGAUUAGAAUCCAUUAUGAACUAGGAAGUUAGUCCCUGGGGUGUCCCGGCUGGCCUUUCAAAACCUUGAGUAUGUCAUUCUGGGUUGGAAUUAGCACAGACUGAAUUUGGUCUGUAUCUGCUGAUUCUCUUUAGGUAUCAUCGGUGCAUUAUCUCUAGGACCAGGUGUUUACCAGGGCUCUUAGAGCCACCAGGAGAGACUAAAUUAAACUUUACUGAUUGGAGCUCUUGGACUUGGGGGUGCCCUUUUCCCUCUCCCCUCCCUGUUUCCCUGGGCCAAUGAAAGGGAGAGGAAGGAGCACCAACUCAGAAAGAGGGAGCCAUAAGAUCUGCAUGUAUUAAUAUGGUAACUCUUUGGAGACUUCUGAGAAACAGAAUCCCAUAUGAACUCUGGACUAUCCUCAAGUCUGAUAAUGAAGAAGAAAUUGAAGAGAUGUUUCUGUUGGGAGUUUGGGCUGACUGGUUCCCUGAUGUGUUACCUGCUUCUGCCACUGAUCCAAACUGCAGAACUUCUCAUUCGUUCCCAAGGCCUCCAGGCAGUGUCCAGUAGGGAAUCAACUCUAAAAGGAACCAGACCAACGUUUGCCAGCCCCUUCAUUCUGGUGACUGAGGGAAGGAAAGUGUGGGAAGGGGGUAUAUAUGUGUAGUCGAUGGAAAGGAAACACAGACUGUCAAAUUACUAUACCUCUUCAGUUUCUUUUACCAAUAGAAUUCUUCAACCAUAUUAUUUUUUAUUGUGUAUGUAUGGGGGAAGUUGGAGAUGGUGACCUUGAUUAGAAUGUGAUUUAAGAGGAAUAAAUGGAGGGAAUGAGAUAAGAGAGUCGGUUAUGAAAGAGGUUGAAGUCUUGAAAUAAUGUGACCAUCUGUGGAAUUUUUUAAAGCCAGAGUUUACAAAAAUAUCACUGAUAGAGGCUGCCUCCUCAUUUCCCGCCACAGGAGACUUCUUGGACUGGAGGCACUUGUUUAAUAACAGCUUGUCUUUGAUAGAAAAUGUUCAGGGCAUCAUCGUACAAAGUUCCAGUAGCAGUGACGCCUACACGGAAGACUUGGAACUGCAAACAGAGGCUGGGGUCACCUCAGUGACAACUGGCGCUGUCCAACCAGAAGUUCGAUUCUUGUUUUGGGGGGUGAGGAAGUAGACUGUACUAAAGCACUAAAACAAUUUUUUGUCUGUA